rnacentral:lncRNA from 1 species
AGUUUAUGUUAAAACUAUUUAAAAAAACAAAAUUAAUAGAAAAUAGUGACUGAAAAUUAUGUUGUUCUUACUGGUAAUUUUGAAGCUGUAAAGCAUUUUGAGGAUUUGAAUCUCUAAUUUAAAUAAGUCCACCAACAUUUGUUAAAAUAUAUAUUGCUUUAUAAAAUUAGAAAUCUUACCAAAAUAUCAAAAUUUUAAAUUUAUUUUUUAAAAGCCUAUUAGUAGAUCAAAUGAUCACAGUUAUUAACAUCUCCAUACCAAUAGUUCUCUUGAUUUCUAAGACAUAUGUAAUUAAAGAAUUUGCCCCAAAACAUUAAAUGUUAGACUGUCAGAGCACUUUCGGCAUAUUAAUGAAUCACUCCUAUUAAUAAUUCAGAGGUUUUUCUUCUACUUUAUUAAAUGUAAAAAGUGUAUAUAUAUAUGAUGCAGAUAAAAAUAAUUGACUCAAAAGAGUAGUCUUUUAGAAUCAAUUUAUGCUUUUAUACGGAUACAUAAAUUUUACAGUCUUAAAUGUUUAAAAAAUAUGGUACCUACAUAUUAGUUAUAUAUUAGAUCUUAUGAUCUCUAAAUGCUUAUAUUCUUCCAAGGAGACUGCCAUCUCUUUUCAGUUAUUCUAAGUAUUGAAAAAAAGAACUGCUUUAUAUUUUAUAUUUCCACUCAUUGUCUCUAAUAUUGCUUACAACUUUCCAAUUCUCAGAGAAGUUUAAGCCAAAACCAUAAUACAGUGGCUAGACAUUAUCAUUUACUACUCUUAGUUACUACUCUUAUCUAAUAUGGUCAUAUAUUCUAUAAAGUCUGCUAGAGAAAGCACUCUUACUUUCUCACAAAUGGAAGUACAAACAGAAAAUCUUCCAUUAGUUUUUGUGUAUUCAAAAGAGUUAACAUAUAUUUUAUUGUAACUUUUCCAUUGCUUACUGUUUAUUCAUUUUUUUAAAAGUUCACCAAAUGGGAUACUUCAAGCAAAAGUGAAAAGCCAUUCCAUUUUUGCAUAAAUUGCUUAUUUUCUUCAGAGUCUCUGAAAGUUCCUUUGAGAAAGCAAAAGGAAUCCCUUUCCUAAUUUACAACAUUGGUCAUUCUACCAUUAAAUGAAAUAGGUAUCUAUAGUUUAAUAUAAAGAAUAGCAACAAAAAAAUCAUGAUUUAUCUAGUCAAAGCUAUUUAUCUUCUGGGGAGUAGAUAUAAUAAACAAAUAGAUAAACAAAAUUAAAGGAAGUCAUGUCUGUUUGUUGGUCUCAAACCAUAUAAUUCCUAAUUUUAAAAAUAGAUAUUAUAUAUAUAUAUACAUAUAUACCAAUUUACUUUAAAUAUAUAUUUAUCCAUAAGUCCAUUCAUUCAUUAACUAAUGUUUAUUGAAUACUAUCAUGUGCCUCUGUCCUGUUCUCAACACAGAGGACACAAGGUAAUCAAAACAAGCCAAAGCCCCUGUCUCACGGAAUUAACCUUCUAGCAGUAAAGAUAUACAAUAAAGAAGUAGUGAUAAGCGCCAUGCUGAUAAUUAAUAAUGUUACAUAGCAUGACUGUACCUUCUUUAUAUUAAGCAGUAAGGGGAAUCUUCUCUGAGGAUGUGCUAUUCAAACUGAUACCUGAAAAGCAUGAAGGAACCAGUCAUUAGAAAACAGAGCGAAAAUUUAAUGUGUAAGAGGGAAAAUUUAAUGUGUAAGAGUCUGGAGGGUUUGAGAGUGAAAAGAAUGGUGUGCUUGGUUCACAGUUGAUUAUCCAAAGAGAGGCAAAAAUAAGAUGGGAGUCCAAGAACAUUUAUGAAACUAUUGCAAUAGCUUGAUCAAAAGAAAAAAAAAAACUUCUGUUAAAGUGGAAGUAGUGAUGGUGGAAAGUAGCAGAUGGUGUUGGGGAUGUUUGAAGACAGGGCUUAUAAUGUAUUAGGACCGAGGAUGAAGAAAGAAAAAUCUAAGAUAAAUUCUAUCUUUGGAAAAUAAAAACAUAGUGCAGGAGAAGCAGGUUUGGAGGGAAAAAAAAAUCAAGAGUUUGGUUUUGGCCAUUUAAUGCCUGAGAUGCCUUUUAGAUAUUCAAAUGGAUAUAUCAAGCAGACAGAGGCAUAUAAGAGUUCCAAGGAGCAGUCAGGGCUAGACAUCAAGAUUUAGAAGUCAUCAAAAUAUACAUGAUAUUUAAGUAUUUUUAAAUCACUUAGGAAUGCUCUGUAAGAGAGAGAAGUAGGUCUCUCUUGAGAUCCAGGGUAUUCCAAAUAGAAGUUAGUCAGAGAAUUAGAAGCCAGCAGAUGACCCUAAAAUUAUCAAGUAAGGAAGAGAAAGAAAAAAACAACAACAAUUGGUCAUAUGGAUUAAAUGCUUAUAGAAGCUAAAAUUAAAAUGAAGAAAUGGCCAUUGGUCUUGGCAACAUGGAAGUUACUGAUGACUUUGAUAUGGCAGUCUCCUAAGUAGUGACGUCAAAGCAUGAUUGAAUGGAUUAAAAAGAUACUUUAGGAAAGGAGGUGGAGUCAGUCUUAUAAAAUAACUGUUUCAAGAAGUUUUACUCUAAGAGAGCAAGAGAAAUAGGGCAGAGCAAGGAAAAUAACUAAGUAGCUAGAAGUAGAUGUGGUGUUAAGAGAGGAUGUGUAUGUGUGCUUGUGUGUGUCUGAAGGAUGCUAGAGCUUAUUUACUAACUAACAUGAGCAAUUUUCACUGUGGUGCAGUGGGUUAAUGAUCCAGCUUGUCUCUGUACACCGGUUCAAUCCCCUGGCCUGGUGCCGUGUCAUCCAGCGUUGCUGCAGCUGUGGUGUACGUCACAGCUCUGGCUUGCAUUCAAUCCCAGAUUUGACCUCUGGCCUUGGGAACUUCCAUACAUCAUGUGGAUGCCCAAAAUAAAAAUAAAUUUUUAAAAAAUUACUAAUUUGAAUGAUCUGGUAGAAAGGGGAAAACUAAUUAUGCCAGAGAGAAUUACUUAAAAGGACUUGAGAGGUAGAAGGGUUAGGAUUCACAGCAUAAGGAAAGAAGUUAGUCUUGGAUAGCAGACACUCAGAACUAUAAUGGGAGGGAAGGCAGAGUGUGUAAUAUGCAAAUAGGUUGGUAGAUUUGUGGUAGCAAGGUAAGGAUGUCGCUAAAUGAAUAGUUUUAUUUUACCAAGAGGAGAUAAAAGUCAAUAUGGGGAGUGGGAAGCAAGUAUAGAGUGGAAGGAGAUGUGUAAGUAGUUAGAAAGGGGAACACACACACACACACACACAUAUACAUGUAUAUAUACGUAAACAUAGUCUAUGGGUAUUUGUGUGUAUGUAAUACACCACAAGAAAAAAGACUAUUAUAUAAAAUAUUUUAAAGCCAUUUUUGUUAAAUAUUUUUGAGAUAUCUUAUUUGGAAGACCUGAAACUGAAUUCCGAGUUUUCCAAUGAUGCUAAUAACAAGUCCUCUUUUCUGUAAUUCGAGAGUAAGUGAGGAUUUCUCAGUGUCAUUGACACUUCCCAUGUUGUUACUUUUGCUUAUUGCAGUGAAAAAGACAGAAACAUCUUGUAGCUAUUCUAAUUCAAAGCUUAUGAAAAUCAAAUUAGCUUAAUCCAAAAAGAUGUAUAUUGCAUACUCAAGCUGUCAGUUUUCUCAAAACAUUACUUUGAGAGGGUUUGAGCCCUCAUCUGAUUUUUUUUUAAAGGCAAUUAGGCUCCGGUAUUUUUCUCAUAUGAAAUACAUGUCAUUUAGGUGUAACACAUGAGUGAUAUGAUUAUUCAUUGUGCCUUCCCCAUUCUAUAGGAAGGAUGUGAUAUUUUAAUUGUGUUCAGAGCUUUAUUUCUGGACAGGCUGUAUGUAAUUUGGUGUGUUGGAAUUUACAGGUGCAUAAAAAAUAUUCUUUGGAUUUGAUGUAAAAUUAGAUUUUGAAUAAUGGAACAAGAUGCUCUCCAUUUUUUGCUGUUUGAGCAUAGCCAAAAAUAUAAAGAUACAUGCAUAUGUAUAAAUAUGUGUUUGAUUAAUCACUUAAUACAUAAAUGGCCAUGUCAUUAAAUGGUAGAUUUGACAGUUACAGUGUGUUCAAAAUUUAAAAAUAGUUAUAAAAAUCUUUGUAGCAAAAAUCCUUAAAAGUUUAUUUAUUAAAUGUUAAAUAGUACAUUUAAAUACCUAGAAAACAUCUGUCUAGGAUGAGAUAUGUAAUCCACCAUAGAGCAAUAUUUGACUAAUGAAAAACUGCAGCUGAAAACAUUUUUCCUUCUAUUAAUAUAUGUCUUUGUAACCUGUCAGUUAUUUAUCAUUAUUUAUGGAUUUAGCACUGUACCCAUCUACUCUUGCAAAAAGGGGGAAAGAUCUGUUUGUGAGAAUAAGGAAGUGCAGCACUGUAUUACUUUUUUCUCUUUGGUAUUACAUCACUAUUUAGAGCUUCAGCAUAUGCCUUCCACUCAGGUUCCUACACGGCUUAUGUUCUUUUCUGGUUGUAUCACAACACAGUAGAAAAAAAACACAGUAAAAGGGUGUUAACAAUAAGACUGCAAUCCUACCUAUUAUCUACUUUACUAUGACAGUGAAGUAGCAUAAACUUAACUAAAGGUGGUAUUGUUUUCAUUUUAUAAAAAUCUACUGUAAAAUUAUGAUGUUCCAUGUAAAUUUUCAUGUGCUGGCAUGCUUACAAGUUAAUAGUGUUAUAGAAUGCUCAGCUCUCAAUGAGGGAUUCUUUGUGGUGAAUUGCAUUACAUAUGUCAUCUAUCUAUUUGCUAAAGAAUAUGGUGUUUAGCAAAACUACCUGCUGAGCAACAUAAUAAGAUUUUUGUACAAAGUACAAAUUACUAAUUAUUGUAUUUUAUUUUUCUAUGAUUUCCUAAGAAGCAUUAUCAGGGUCUUACAGAGGAGUAGGCCCGUUUAUUAAAAUAUUAUUAGCAAAUAAAAGUUAAAGUUCUGG